GAUGCAUCAAAGAUUGGGUUACUCCAUGAUCAGGUCAAAAGGUUGCUGAGAAUCUUCUUGAAAAGAAUUGUGAAGACAUCGGUCAUUGUUGCACACACAGAUGUAACACAAGUUCCAUAUGAUGUUGGUGACAAUUUCCUUCCAGAUGAUAAACUUGUUGUGGGACUGCCAUGCAGAGGUUACAUUGCAGACCACCAAGAUGAAAUUGGUGUUGAAACAGAAAAGAAAUUGUACAGAACAGCCAGAAACUUUUAUAUAAAGAUAGUAUCCAAGAUGGUUGAUAAGUUUCCCUUCUCAGACACCACCUUGCAGGACAUUGCUUUUAUAAACCCUAGGAUGAAAACCAAGAUAGUAUCUGACUCUGUUACAAAGCUGGCUAACAGGUUUCCGGAGGCCAUAGGGUGUGAAAAUACAGCAGAACUUCUAGACCAGUUUACAGAGUACCAGCUGUUAUCUCCUGAUGAUCUUCUCACCUUUGACCAGGACAUAUCAUCAUUCUGGGGAGAAAUGGCAGAAGUUGAUGACAUCUUCAAUGAUAAAAAACAUUUUAACACACUCUCAAAGCUUGCUAAAGCAUUUUUAGUUUUACCAAACAGUAAUGCUGAUUGUGAAAGAGCCUUUUCGAUAAUCAAAAAGAUAUAUACAGAAUUUAGAUCUGAGCUGAACAAUGACACAUUAUGUGCACUGUUGUCAUGCAAAUUUAAUGAAACUGACAGUUGCUAUGAGUAUCAGCCCAGUUGUGAUGUGCUGAAAGCAGCAAAACAGGCCACCAUUGAAUAUAAAAAAAGUUUACAGCUAAGAAUGUUGUUUCUUUUUACAUUAAAAAAAUUGUAUUAAAGAUAAAAGAAGGUGUGGUAUGAGUGCCAAUGAGACAACUCUCCAUCCAAGUCACAAUUUGUUCAUUUUAACUAGUCCGCAUCGACGUCACACGUUUUUACACGCUUUUUGACAUGUCAUGUCAUGACAUGAUUUCUCAUUGUCAGAGGUUGGCAAGUAUGGUCUAGUGGGAUCAAAAGGUUAUAUGUAGGGACUGCAACAAUUUCGUGUAUAAUUUUGUAGAAGAAGACAAGUCUGUAUCGUAAACGCCUAAUUUCAAGUGGGUACCA